AAUUAUCACUUGUAUAUUCUCAUCAGUCACUCAGUUCUUCACUUAGUGAUUUCUACCUCAGCAGAAAUUGCCCUUUCAGAAGUUACAGUGACCUAAUUACCAGUCCACAGGUUUGGGUUUAUCAGAUUAACUCCUGUUUAGUCUUUUUGGAAUCAAUUUCCACUCCCUCCCCCCAUUUGAGUGAGACACUGUAUUUUUGUCUAGUUUAUACGGGAUUCUUUCUGCUUGCUCUUUUAAUGUAUUUUCCCAAGGUCUUGCCUUCUGCCCUCUUGUUUUCUCAUUCUAUAUAUUACCUAUGGCCCUUUUAUUACUAUUUCAUAUCCAUGUCUAGUCCUCACAUCAUUCUGUCUCAGAACUGUUUCCCACAGUCUGAUAGACAUCUCUCUAGGUUUUUGGCUAGAAUUCUGAAGCUAACUUUUGAAAUCAGAAAUCAUUGUUACAAUUCUUUCAGUAUCUGUCUCCUGGCCUUCUUUCACAGCUCCUAAAACACAGCAGCUUUUUACACCUGCCUUGUCUUUAUUUUGAAUACUGAUGCCACUAAUCUUUUAGUUAUUCUGCCUUCUGGAAUCAGUUUCUUAUUUUCUACUUUUACAAUUCUAGAUGAAUCUGCCAUUAAGACUUGAAUUGGUCUGCUAAUUCAUUUAUUUCCUAAUUUCUCAUUUUUAAUGCUGUAAUUGGAUAUGUCCUUUUGGCUUUAUACUAAAGUCAAGGUUUUAGAUUUCUAACAAAUUCUGAUCUGGGCAGGAAGCUUCCCUGAAAGCCAGGGCAGCAUAAACUCUUUUGUUAUUCUCAAGUUCUUCUACUUAAUUGUAUGAGAUUUAUGGUAGAAUGGUGUUCGGUAUAUGUGGUAACUGAUGAGUAUGGUUUAAGAAAUUCUAGGAGUUCUCAUCGUGGCUCAGUGGUAAUGAGCCCAACUAGUAUCCAUUAUAGGAUGCGGGUUAGAUCCCUGGCCUUCCUUGCUCAGUGGGUUAAGGAUGGGGCAUUCCCAUGAGCUGUGCUAUGGGUAACAGACACGGCUUGUUACUAUGGUUAUGGUGUAGGCUGGCAGGUACAGCUCCAAUUCAACCCUAGCCUGGGAACUUCCAUAUGCUGGUUGGUAUGGCCCUAAAAAGACAAAAAGGAAAAAAAAAAAGGGAAAGAAGUUCUGAGAUUCAGGGAGAAAAUCGUUUUUACAAAUUGGAAAAAUUUUCUACCUAUUUUAGAAGGUUAGUUAGAAAGUCACCUAGGUGGGGAUGACUUAACUUCAUUGUACGUUUACUUUCUGUAGCAUUUGACACUAUUAUAUAAUAGCAUAUAAUAACUCUUAUAAGUUCUCUUAUCCUUGAAUCAUGUUCUUCUGACUGUUUUAGGUAUUCCAUUAUUAUGUUGUUACAAAAUAAACAGCACAUUAUUUAUGUCUUUCUUCAUCUCUGCUAGCUGUUAUUUUUUCUUUCAGAGAAUUGUGUAUUUCUGUUAGAGUACUUACUAUAAUAUGCCUUAUGCCAUGAGAAACUAUUUGUCAAAUAGAUUGUGUACUGGGUUUAAAUAGGUUUUAAUCUUUUUUUUUUUUUUUUUUUUUACCAUUGCCUCCCUCCCAUGUCUUAUAAUCACAGUAGGUGUUCAACAGAUGUUUGUUAAAUGAAAUUAUUCCCUUAGUUUGAAUGCCUUUCUUGCUCAUGGGUUGUAAUCACUCUGACACAUAUUACUAAAUGUCUGUGGGUAGAUUGCAUAAUCCCUUUUAAAUAUUUUUGUCCCGAAACUGGCAACGCCUUUUUUCAAAGGGUUAGUUUAUAAUUAACUAGUAAAAUGCUUUGAAGAAGUUAAAGUUGAGCAUUAUGAUCAUCCCAUUAAAGACGAACUGUUAGUAUCAGGUUUGUAGGUAAAAGCUCUCCCAAAGCUUGAGGUUAAUUAAAUGGCAUUGAAGUAAUUAUUUUGUAGUAUUUACAUCUUGGUUAUUUGCUUUACUGAAAUCCCUAGAUUUCUUUGGAGGGAAGGAAUCUUUUUUUCUUUCUUUUUUGGAAGGAUGCUUUUGUAGUGCUAUUUAUUCUGAGGUCUUUGUCACUGAGCCAAGUCAAGAUUGAAACCCUUUCAUUAUGAUAGUAGUACAUUAAUAUAGUGCAGCAGUUAGGAUGAUGUGCAUCAUAUUUUAUACUUAAAUUGUUUUAUAUGCCAGAGGUCCCCAGACUUUUGUGUACUAAGAAUCAUUUAGAGGCCCUCAUUUAAAAUAUCCCAUCUCCAGAGAUUCUAGUUUAGCAGGUUAUGUUUCUUUAAUGAGAAAUUCAGGUACAUUCUGAUUCAGUUAGUAUGUAGAACAUACUUUGAGAGAUACUCCUGAAUGGAGCUGUAAAAAGUUGGUAGCAUAUGGGAGAAUGACUAAUAAACAUACAAAAUCAUUUAAAUUGAUAUUCAAAGAGUUAUAUAACUCACAUUAUUUAAAACAUGACUAUUUUGUCUUUAAUUCAAUAUGCACACAGUACUUACUCCUAGAGUGUGUUUUUGAAACUUCAGUACCUACAGAUGCUCCAUGAAAAAAGAGCUUGAUCAAAUAAGUUUGUGAAAUAUUAUAUAGUAUCUUCCAUACUUCAGAGAUUUGUACUGCAUAUUAACAUAUUAAAGACUCAUAGAAGUCAAGUGAAAAACCUUGGACCUCAUCAUUUCUUAGAUGUAUUUGACCAUGGACCUUCCUAAAAAUGUCCUGAACAAACUUGGGAGGUUGGGGAAAUCGUGCCCUUUUUUUUUGUUUGUUUGUUUUGCUUUAUAUCGUCUGGAAUUCAAAAGAAGUGGUGUAUCUUUUAUAAUUAAAGAACUUAAAAUCUUGCUUGAACCUCAAGACUUGGAUGUGCCAUCUUAAAAAAUGGUAAGUAUAUAAUGCUAAAUUUGAUAUUAUCAAGUGCCAGAAUGGAGAGUUGCAGCUACAAAGGGAAGAGGGCGAUUUAGGUUAGAUUAUUCAGGUAAGAUUUUGAGGGAGAGAUGGGUCUUGAAGGGUGAGUGGUGGGAUUUGAUUACAAGUGAUGCUGGCCUGGGCUGUCUAAAUGGGUAAAGUAUUUCACAGGUAUCAGUUUCUUUAUUCACAACUGUGUCUUCAAACAUAUAGUCAGUGCUUCCGCUGUGACUGUUUGUUGAAUGUGUUAUAUAAUAAUGGUUUCCAAACUCUAAUGUGUAUGAGAAUCAUCUGGAGAUCUUGUUAUAAAUGGUUUCUGAUUGGAUAGGUCUGGGGUAGAGCAUAUUUGAAGUGACAGAUAUAGAGCCUGAUCAAGUCUUGGAUGAGGAAUUGAGUAAGAUGACCUUCGAGGCCCACUUUAACAUUGGUUUUAUAGGGUGAAGUGUCUGAGGUAGUAGACAGAGAACUGUAUUAGGAAUGGAAGCACCUAAAUUCUAGUUUUUUUUUUUUUUUUUUUUUUUCUCCCCCUAAUUCUGUCAGUCAUUUGUUAGCCUUGUGACCUUGGUCUAGAGUUAGUUGACUUAUAUCUGAGCUGUAGUAUUUACUCAGCUAAAUACUGAGUUAAAGGGUGGGACUGGAGAAGGCAAGGGCCUGGGGAAGUGAAAUAAUACAAUUUAAAAAGCAUUCAUUUUUUAAGCACAUUAAGCAUAUUUACCGUUAAGUACUAUUACAUGACUGAAUUGCAUCUUAAGUGGAUUUACCCCCCUCUACUGAGGGAUAGUUUGAAAGUAGCUAACCAGUUUUCUUGAGAGCUCAAACUAAUAAGUGAUGGUGUAUGUUACAUAAUUAACAUGUUUAUUAUCCUUAAUUAUAGACAGUUUAAUGUUUGAAUUUCUAAUUGUUUUUCCCUUUGUGCCUUUUAGUAGGAAUGUGGUCUUGUGGGUUUAAAACUAGCUCGUGGUAACUAGCAUUACAGCACAAAAUUAGAAAUUUGUCUUUUUGUGAAAAAGUUUUUAGUAAGUGAAUAGUCUAUAGGCUAUAUAUUUGGAUACCUUUAAACGUAUAUUGCAAGUAUUUCUUUUUGUGAGUGGCUACAUUCUUUUUGUGAGUGGCUACAUUUGACUAAUUGUAUAAUGUAGUUGGGUUGCUUUGGGAAAAUAUACAGAAAUGACAUUUAUGAAAUGGAUACUUUUUGUAUUUUUCUUAAAAGAAAUUUAAGAAAACUCAAAUAUAUUUAAAUGGUAGCAUAUUGAAAAGGAUUGUACAUGCUUUUAAAAUAUUAUCUAUAAUCUCAAUUGAUAAAGUAUUACCAUGUGAAUUAAAUCUUCUCUGAAGAAAACAUAGCUCUUUUCUCCACUCUCUUACCCACCUGUCCAGUAUUCAAGGAAUUGGGUGGUGAAGAGGAUAGCUGCUGUGACUGCAAAGACAGUUACGCCUGUAGUUUGAAGACAUGAGGCUGGGGAGGGAUUAGUGUGUGAUGGAUGUAGGUCUCUGGUUGAGAGACUGAUUAUAUUAAACAAAUUAAUUAAUUGAAAGAGCAAUUGUAUUGAAAAUAAUGGAAGUUGUGUUUCUCAUGGGGAAGGACUUAUAAAAAUGGAAAAUCUAAAAAGAAACAUAGGUAUGGAAUUAGAAUUGGAAGCACUGGUGUACACACAUUUGUUUUUUAUUAUUUGUGUACAGGUGGGUAAGAAAUAGGUAUAGAUAUGUAUAUUUAUAUGUAUGUAUAUGUAGUAAUAUACUUCCUAGCUUUCUCUUUGAGAGGACUCAAUAGCGGUGAAACCCCAGUAACAAGGAGCACACCUUAUGCCCAGAUCUUGAUUUCCGAAUACUAUCCUUGACGAAAAGAAGCUAAUGCUCAAUUUAGCUCAAUUUAUAGGGUGAGGGAGGGAAGGUACUAGUUGAGUCUGGAGAGUUCUUUUGUGCCAGAAAGUAAGGAAAUACUCACAAUGGUGGGGACAUGUCAGAAGGAUACAGGAACCACUUUGAAAGGUUCCUGAUAGCCAAAUCUAGUAUAAUUUGAGCAGAAAAAAAUAGAGGGAUGGGUAAUAACCCAUAGGAUAAAGUAAGAAUCCAUGAGUCCAUACUGAUAUGAAUAAAUGAGUGAAUGAAAAGGAAAGGAGGGUUGGGGAGGGAAAGUUCUUUAAAGUAGAAUGCCAACUAAAAAAUACUGAAGGAGUAAUGGGAUUAGAUAAUCACCACCAUAGCGGUAUUAAAGGCAAGAAUAGUCAGUGAAUGCUUUGGCUAGUGGGUAGAGAGUUAUAUCUAAUGAUGGGUCGGUAUAAUAUGUAUGCAUAGUAUCUCAUCUAUAUAUCUGUUCCUUGAAUGUUAUAGCCUAAAUUGGGUUACGAGGAACAUCAGAUAGACCCAGACUGAUGGUCAUGCUAGAGAAUGAAGAGCCUAUAUCCUUUA
rnacentral:lncRNA from 1 species